GAAAGUGCUCAGAUCCAAAUGGAUGACUGUAACCUACAAAUACAAAUUAAUUUUGUAUCAUUGCUUCACUUCACAGUGCACAAGAACCAGAGAAAAGAAGAUGGUAAGUGUGUGGCACUAAUAUUCCAACCUCAUCAACCCUUGUCCCUUCAGCUCAAUCGUCUCUUAAGCUUCAUCUACACUAGCAUCCACUCGGUCGAUCCUUCUAGCUAGAUGCAAUUUCAUAACCUGAGCAGUGAAAAAAAUCGGUAUAUAUGUAUUUUUCUUGUAACACAGAAAAAAGAAGAUGGAAGUAUAAUCAAUUCUGUUGUAGCGCACUUGGAAGCACAAUAGUCCAGGCAUAGUUCUAGUGAAAUGGGUUAAGGGCAAAAUACUUACAGGGACACUGACUGAAACUACAUUAAUACGGCUGUCAGCUACAUUGCUAGCGUCAGAUUAUCGAUGAUUCUGAACCCACAUUGAAUCAUGAAGUUUUCA
rnacentral:lncRNA from 1 species